GGGUGGUAAGUAGGUGGGGAGACAGCACAGUAUGGGCUGCGAGUUGGUGUUGAGACAGCAGUGUGGGUGGUAAGUAGGUGGGGAGACAGCACAGUAUGGGCUGCGAGUUGGUGUUGAGACAGCAGUGAGGGUGUGGGUGGUGAGUUGGUGUUGAGACAGCAGCGAGGGUGUGGGUGGUGAGUUGGUGUUGAGAGAGCAAUGUGGGUGGUAAGUAGGUGGGGAGACAGCACAGUGUGGGCGGCGAGUUGGUGUUGAGACCGCAGUGAGGGUGGUAAGUAGGUGGGGAGACAGCACAGUAUGGGCUGCGAGUUGGUGUUGAGACAGCAGUGUGGGUGGUGAGCAGAUUGGAAUACAGCAGUGUGAGUGGUGACUUACUAGAGAAGACAACAGUCUUCUGUCAUUAGGUGUUCAGCUAGGUCACAGACGGCCAGGCUCUACGUGCUGCCUGAGACGGGUGGAUACCUGAGCAGGAGAGAUGUGGGUGUGGCUGGUAUUAGCCCUCUUGGUCAGCUGGGCCGAGGCGAUGAGACGCUGGGAAUAUUUCAUUGCACCUGGAGUUACAUUCAACAAUAGCGAGGCCUACAACAGCUCUCCCGUCAGCUCCCUAUGUACGUGCAAGACAAGAUGUUUCGCUACUGACACAUGCAAGGCGUGGACAGCGAAGAGAGAGGCUGGAACCUGGUACUGUCUACUCGCUAAACAAGGACCAUCCCUUACCACUACUCUCGCCACCCACGCUGAUUCUGUUUAUGGUUUCAUGGAAGACUCGCUCACGGGUCUAAUCGAUGCAGUCCAAGAAGCGGACGGAUGUCAAAAUUUGGUGCCAAAUC